GGAAGCUGCAGCUGUAGAUUGAAAACACAUCAGGGUUUAUGCCAGAGAUAGCAAAAAGCAGUCAUGGAUGGAAAAAUGAAGAAAAGUAAUGUAAGUAUGAGCCACAGCAAUUGAAAUGGAUACACUCUUAAGCAACUAAGAAUAAUUUAAUAUUUGUUUUGCAGUUAUUUGCUAAGAUCAUAUUUCUUAAUCAAAAGUUUAACUGGGGGGUUGUGAGAAUUGACUUAAAAUGGCCCCAGUGACUCUUGAACCAAAGAGACUGUUUUUGAGUGAAGAUUGCAUUACCAUAACUCUUGAAACAUGAUUUUUCAUGAUGUAUGCUUAAAUCAACUGAGAAAAGACUAAAGGUAUACAGCUUCCUGCAUCUGAUGCUUGGAUCCAUUUCAACAGAUUGAAGCCUCUGAAAUCCCCUCUCUGUAGACCUAUCUGCGUCAUCUCUGGCCUGGAUCAAGCUAUACAAUAUUUAACUUAUAUGACCUUCAACAAACUUCGCAACUAUUUCAGAAUUCAUAGUUAUGAUGAGAAGUACUUUUGGAAGUGACGCUAAUAAAAUGAAGAGUUGGGGUUUAUUGGCUUACAAUGUAAAGGAGUAAGGCUUAAAGGAAAAGUAAUAUGCUUUGUAAUAUUGAAAAUACAUUAAAAAUUGUGAUUGACAAAUUUGACCAGUGUUCCAUCAUACUGAUGCUGUUGGCUAAGGUAAGGUCAAGACUGGCUGUGGGGACCCAGAUUCUAUAGUUAUCCCUCACAUUUGCAAUUUUGAUUUUUGCAGAUUUCAUUGUUCAUGGAUUUGAUUAAAAUGUUAUUUUUAGGAAUAUCUAGGUCCUCCAGUGUGACUCUAUGGUCUAAUUCCUCCCAUCAACCUACAGAUUUCUAAAAGAGAACACCUCUCUAAGAAUUUCAGGAUCAUCCAAUGUGAGUUUAGGGUCUGCUACCAGGGGAAGUUGACCAUAGAGUUGGGUUGGUAGAUAUAGAAAUUAUUAGAGAGGUGUUCUCUCCCAUUUUUAAAAAAGCAAUUUCUUUAUUCACAGUCUUUCAGUGCCCCUACCCCUGCAAAUGUGAAGCGUUUACUAUAUCUCUGUCUAUGUGCUGUUGAACAUUUUAACCCCCUCCCUUAUAAGUCAGAUAACUAUUUAGAUAAAAGAAGCCUUAAAAGGUAGUUUCUUUAUAUCUUUUCCAGACUGCUAAAUAGAGUUGGUUAUAAAAGACUAAACAGAAUGUCUAACAAAUACAAAAUGGAAAUGAAUAGUAAAUUCUAGAUUGUAUUUGAAAUGAUAUUUGCUGUUCUCAGAUCAGAAGGACUUUUUCAGUGUUUGCCCUUCACCUUUUCUCCAUGGUUGUUUCCUCGUCAUAACUUAAAUGAUAGUAUUCAAGUGAAGUCUUUCUUCCUAUGUUUUGUAUGACUUGAAGGACCUGACCUCUUUUUAAUUAGUAUUCACUUCAAAUAGCUCAUCACUGUCCUUUCCAAGUGACGUCUUGUCUUAGGAGAGAAACAUGUGGAAGACUCAUUAAAAAGCCAAAAGGUUCCUGUGCAAGACUUGAGGUUAAGAUUAUCAUUAAAAUAGGGAAAGUAUGUGCAGUUCUUUGUGUACAUUUAUUAAGAUUCUCUUCACAAAUUCAGCUUCCGGUAAGAGUACUUACCAAGGUGUGUUUGGUUUCUGUUGGCAAAUAAUGAUUAUAGUGAUCAAGCAAUCUCCUUUUUUCAUAUUGUGAAACGAUACUUGUCACAAAGUAAAAGUACUUGGAAUGCUGAGUAGUGGAAGGAUGUAAUUAACAAGUAGUUAGGUAGGGCAUUAAUUUACAACAUAGCGAGCUCUAAGUUCUAGCUGCAUGCAUGAUAUUUUUCUCUGAGCUUUGGAGAUGUUCCACAUGUUAUAUUUGCAGAAUGUUUUUGCUGAUGAAGAUGACUGACCUUGAAAGAACGCAGCUUGACUUUCGGAGCCCGUGCUGUGAUUCCAGAGCUAGUAGUAUAGGAAAAAGGUAUAUUUCUCCUGUAAACAAAGCAAAUUGACUGUAGUAGUCACUGAAACACAAUAAAUAUGGAAAUUCAACAUGUCUUCCUUUUCAAACAUUUCCUAAAAUGGAAAUAUAAUUCAGACAUGUAUUUAGUUAAGAUGAGACUGUAUCUUUUCUUUAAGUAAACUAGUCCAGGAAUGAUAAAACAUGGUACUUUCUUCUAACAAAAGAGAGCUUUCUUUAAAUAAUGAUAUUUAUUAGGUAAUGCAUUGCAUAAACCUCAGUGGAUAUUAACAAUUAACUGCAUUAUAUUCUGUAUUCUUUGUUCGAAAAGAAAAGAAGGAAGCUGUUUAAAAACAUCAUUUUUAGUACAAAUAUUCAAAUGCUACUGUAAGAAUGAGUAUUAUUAGUUUCAAAGGUUUUCUUAUAGUUAUUCAAAUCUGUUGCAAAAAAAGUUUUGUUCUAUCAAACAAUAAAGGUCAUCCUUUUCUUUAAUACAAACUAGGGUCAUUGAGUGUCUUAUCGCUUUGGAAGUGAAACCAAAAAUUAAUAUAAUUGUUUCUACAUACUUGAAAGAAGAAGUUUGCAGAUUAAAAGGAAAAAGUAGUCAUAGGGAACACUCUGACAAGGACUUCUAAGCUUCCAGUACAGAUAAACUUCAAUUAACAAAGUAAGUGUAUUAAUGUUACAUCCUUAAAGAAAUGGUAGUGGAAGUAGAAAUAAUAUGGAAAGAAUAGAGAUAGAUUCUUCUGCCACAAAAAAGAGAAGCAGUUUGACAUGUGUCAGGGUUUUUUUUUCUAUAACUAAGAAUGUGUACAUGUGAAAUGAAGUUUAUGCAGGUAAUCUGUGCAUAAGUAAAUAAAAGCAUUUCAAACCUUCUGGGGACCUCUGGAAAGGCUUCUUGCAAAAUGAAUUCAGGGACAUUCUUCCUUUGUCAGUUUUCAUUACUCUUAUGAUUUUCAUUUUGAUAAAAAAAAUUAUAAUCUAUGCUUAUUUAACAUGUGGGGAGGAGCUGUGAAGUUAAACUAAUCUGCUUUCCCCUUUUCGUUUAAUUUUGCUGUUUGUGCAAAUCAGCAAGGCAUUCUUGAGGCAGCUGCUGCUCACCUUGCCUAUUGUGUGCAGCAGCAUGCAACUACAGUAGGAUUGGCUAGAGUAGAUUCCUUCUUUUUCCCAGCUCAGGUUUUAUUGCAUUUACUAUAGACAUGCUGCUGUAAAAGAUUUAUGUUUUCUUAGCCCUGCUUCACCAUUCUCUUUGUGCUGCUGCUACUAGACAGAAGUUAGAAAGAAAAUGUGAUGAGUCCCCUUGGGGAGAAGGGCGGGGUAGAAAUAUCGGAAAUAAAUAAAUAAAUAAAUAAACUUACAGCAAAAUCUUUAGAAAUAAGGCUUUCAUGAGCCUUGGCAAGAUAGCAAAGUGAAGACCCCACCCUAGAGUUUUCUGUGAGGGGUAAGUUAUCAUUUGCAAAAUCACUGUUCUGUGAUAUCUUUGGACUGGUGGAGUAUUUCCUCCAGGAAUGGAAGGAUCCGUGACUUUCACAGGGCGCAGUUUCUACCUCUGUUAAGGCAUUUGUUUUGACAUCUGCCUUGGCACCGAGGUUAGUCAGGCACCAAGAAAAGGAGUUCGCUGUAGCAUCAUUGCUGUGAACCUACAGCACAAACAAUGCCAAUUUGUCCAUUGCAAUUAAGAGAAGUCUUACAUUCUGUUGCUCUCCCAGAGCUUUUGCUCAAGAUAUUGCUCUGAUGCGUUAUUAUAUGUUUGACUGUUGUUGUGAUUCUUUAUGUGAAUAUUACCAUAUGCUUAGGUAUAUGUGCCUUCUAGUCGCAUGUUGACUUGUGGUAACCCAAUGAAUUUCACAAGCUUUUCUUAGAUGAGAAAUACUCAGAGGUGGUUUUUCCAUUUACUUUCUCUGAGUUCCUAUAGCACAGUGGUUCUCAACCUGGGGUCCCCAGAUGAUUUUGGCAUACAACUCCCAGAAAUCCCGGCCAGUUUACCAGCUGUUAGGAUUUCUGGGAGUUGAAGGCCAAAACAUCUGGGGACCCCAGGUUGAGAAGCACUGUUAUGGCACCUAGUAUUCAUUGAUGGCCCCACCCAUGUAUUAAUCAAGACCAGCACUCUUUAGCAUCCAAUUUCACUCCUGUCUGUUGGUCAGACAGAUUGUCUUCUACAUGCCAAAGACUGUGAGUAAAAGUUGCUGUUUAGAAUUUAAAAGAUACUGGUGGUGAUGAACUUUGUAAUAUAGCACAUUGGUGAUUUGUUUCUUUAUCAAGUGACUGUAUUGAGGAAGCAGGGGAGAAAAGGGGAGGAGGAGGGCUGCAUGCAUAGAGAAUGGAAGAUGAAGGAUGACGACAAUGGCUGAUGAAGACUUGUUAAUCUGCUGAGAUGGACAAAUUGAUUAGCCUGACCAAGGAGAAAUAUUUGUUCAGUUACAAGCAGAACUGGGAUUUGCUAAUUAGUUUAUUAUGAUAAUGAGGGAAGCAUUUAUCAAUUGUGAGUUUUAUGAAUUAGUAGAAUGUUAUUAAAACUACAACUAUGAUUACAUAGUUGAUUGCAUUUAAAGGGAGUAGGCUAAUUAAAGAUAAAAACCAUCCAAUAGUGAGUGAGAGCUUUGUUGGCUAGACUUUUUGUUAGUUUUGUUCUUUUAGCGUAUGUGUGUGUCCUUAGUUUUACUUUUGUGUCUGUGUUCUGCUACCUGCAAUAGGCUUUUAGCUAGAGUGUGGUAUCAAUAGUGGUUAGCAUUUAGAUCAGUAGGGUUUUGUUUUUGUUUUUUUUAAAAAAAACACACCCUACAACAUGUAAAUAUGUUUGUUUGUUUGUUUGUUUGUUUGUUUCUUUCUUUCUUUCUUUUGAAUGAAAAGUACUUAAAGAAAAGCAGCUUUUACAUCAGGGGACUUGUUAAUUGAGGGAUGCCUAUUCAAGUAGCCAUUUCUUAUUUUACAGCACUGGUUCUCAACCUGUGGGUUCCCAGCUGUUUUGGCCUACAACUCCCAGAAAUCCCAGCCAGUUUACCAGCUGCUAGGAUUUCUAGGAUUUCAGGGAGUUGCAGGCCAAACAUCUGGGGACCCACAGGUUGAGAACCACUGUCUUACAAGUUAGGGAUUGGGGGUUGAGUUAGGUUGGGUUUCCACCAAUAGACUUUGUAAAAAGGAGUUUCUUUGCCAGAUACAUUGGGUGCUUGUACAUAAUAGAGAUCAUACACAAUGACAUCACUUUAGCUGUCAUGGCUCAGUGCUAUGCAAUUGUGGGAGUUUGUCACGCCCUGGUAGCGGAGCACUAAGAACCAAUACACGGAGGCCAAUAACAAUCUAAUAUCUUUAUUAAGGAAAUAAUAUAGGAGGAUAAAAACAAGUAGAAAAUGUAGUUCAGCAAUAGACCUUUCAGGGAAGGUCAAAUAUAGUCCAGAAAUAUAUUGUCCAGUAUAUAAUAUUAGAGUUCAAAAUUAUAAUCCCAAAACCGAAACACACUCAACUUCCAAGCAGUUAGAGUGGGGAAAGCGUCCAAAAGUUUUACUAGAGUUCAAAGUAAGUCCAAGGCAGGAAACUGAAGACAAGACUGGGUACUUGGCACAAGAUGCAAGGCUGGGAACACGGUGAGACCGGUCAAGAACACGGCAAGGCAAGGCACGGAGAGACUGGAGAUAGCGGACUCAAAACGCAGUCCACACUUAGCUGGAACCGAAGUUAAUCCUUCAACUGACUCGUUGACUCCGCGCGGGCUAACCCGUGCGGGAAACUUUUAAAGAACUUCAAAUCUUCCUACAAACAGGUGUCCAGAGCUUCUUUCCCAAGGGAAAAGAACUGAAACACAUCUUCAUCCAGAUGCGUUCCUCCCUGAAAAAUCCCAGGAGAACCGAGCUAAUUAGCACUCUGUCUGGCUGCUAAUCUCGCGCUCUUUCUUGUUUGCGCUUUCUCCAAGCGACUAGUCUCAAAGAAUUCCCUUCUCGUGAAGGGGGGAGAAGUGCUUGGGAUAGCUUGUUCAAGGUCCAUUUUAAUGAGCUCUUGGCAAGAAUUGUCAACAAAAGGCAUCUGGAACGGACCAGUCUCUUGCUGAGAUGGCAGAAAUCCCAUGUCUUCAUCUCCAUGGUCCAUAAUGGCGCUAGGGUCAGGACUCGGAGGCCCAUGGGGCAUCACAGAGUUGUUGUUUGUAGAUAAGAUUAAAUAUUUUGAAAAAUGUCAACUCCCAUGAUUCCUUAACACUGAGCCAUGGCAGCUAAGUGGGGUCAAACUGAAUUAAUUCUAUAGUGUAGAUGCACCUCUUGGCAGGAGUUUCUGUGUUUGGUGAAGAUUGCCCUUUUGCAACAUGCUUAUUCAGAAGUAAGUCUUGUUGAAAUUAAUUCUCUGGUUUUCUGAGGGAAGUACUCAACAAAAGGCAAAUAGAUAUAAUUUUUCUUUAUGAAAAUCUAACUUUAAGUGCAUACUGCCUUACUUUUCCUGCGGCCAUUGAUCUGUCCAUAUUCUUUACCUAAUGAACUACUUCCUUUACUUUAUGGGUGCUACCUUUUUCUCUAACUGAAAUUAGUAAUUUAAAGACCUGUUGCAAUAUAUAAUCAUAAAAUUUGAGCAUGUUUACAUAUUUCUUUAUAUCACAUUAAUACAUUCUUUAUCUUUGCACUAUGCUGAAUUAUGGGCUUGUUAGCUAGUCUUGUUUCAUUUGACUGAUCUGAGAAGUUCUGCAUUGGAAAGCAGCAUGACUAGUUUGUCAUUAAAGAUAAGCCAUGGGACUUCACACCAUUUAAGCCUAUUGAGGUAAAGGAUUGGAUCAAUGCUGUGGAAGAUACUUAAUUUGUUUUGAUUAACCUAAUUGGUUAAUUACACAAAUAACAAAAGCUGAUCACCAUUUUAGUUCAAAACACAUCUUCAACAUUAUGGAAAUAGAUUGUUCAUAUACUGCAGAAAUCAGCAUGCUUCUCCUAUAAUAUGUCAAACGCCACCGAAUUUCAUUUUUGAUUGACAUCCCUGCUCAAAUCUUAGUAAAGUUACAUUUUGGAUUUCACAAAAUCCCCCAGUCAGCAUUGCGGUUGGCGUAAGAAACAACUAUCCUAUACUGUGGUAACAUUUGAGUUCUACAUCAUAUUUUUCAUACUAUGGAAACAAUGAGAUUAUUACAUCAGGAGGAGUAUCUGGAUGAUCUGUGUGAUUGGACAGAGAUUAAAUAUAACAUAGGGACUCAUCUUCCUUCAAAUGUGAUGCUUUAGAAAACAACAUUAGCCCGAAAUGUCUAUUCUUUUAGCCUGCUCAUGUGAAAUCAUUUUAUGUAGGAUGAACAUGCAGUGUCAGUUCAUGAUUAAAUUAGUUGUAUUGUAGCUUGUUCUUAGUGGUGAAUCAUGUGUAGAAACAGUGUGCAUCUACAGAAUGAACUAUAAAAAGCAUUAAUACAGCCCUGUAUUAAUUUGUUAAUUUGGAAUCAAGACAAGAAAAACAAGGAUACACAGUAGGACUACUAUUUGACAUGUGCCUUUAUAUUCAUUAACACCCACUUAUAAACAUAUGGUCAUUCAAUAGCUAAGCAGUACUAACUAGAUGUUGGCACCAUCUACAGCAGUUCUUUUGUGCAGUGUCUAGAGCUCAUACUUCAUUGCUCACAAAACCUUUUUAUGAAAAACUCCCCAAAAGAAGACUCCCAUCUUCAGACUCUUCAAGGGAGCAUGAUUCUUUAGUAAACAAAUUUUAGGGGGCAUAUCAGUGUGGUGCAGUGGUUUGAGUGUUGUACUACAAUUCUGUAGACGAGGGUUCAAAUCCCUGCUUGAAGAUGCAAGCAUUUUGGGUGACCUUGAACAUGUUGCAUUCAGCUUGAAGGAAAAAUCUCUGAACAAAUCUUCCCAAAACGUCCAAUGAAAGGUCCACCUUAGGGUCACUAUAAUUCAGAAAUGACUUGCAGGCACACUACAUUGACAGUGUUUUUCAAUGCAAAAAAAAAAGCAUUUUGGAAGAUUUUAGUUACUAUUGGUUUUUUCAUAAUGGUUGAUUUCAGCGCAGGAAGGUUCAUGGGGAAACGGGGGCGGUUCAGACCCUGGAGUCUCUGCAAUUGCCCAUAUCUAAAGAAUUACGGUUUAGUACAUAAUGGUUGAUAGUUUUCUGACCAAACUGCUCUUUAUUCAUUUACAAAUAUGUGCACUCUAGCCCUAAGAACCUUUGAAAAAAAAUGCUUGAAGUGAUCAGGGGUUUUGUUUAUGAUGCAUUUAGAUGAUUAGUCUGAUUUUGAAUUAUUUGCAAACCCUUUGAACAGUGGGUUAUUUUUCCUCACAUACGGAUGUCUUUCUCUGUGUUUAUUUGGAAAAUGUUGUAAAUCCAUUAAAUGUCUAAUUAACAUUCUGAUGUAGAUUAUAAAGAGCAAAUGCAAAAUACAAAGGCUUCAGUUAAACUAGAAAGCACAUGAAACAGCUUUUUGCAAUAUCUUACAAUUAGCUUUAGUUGUGAUUUUCUUGAUGGCCUGUCAGGUUAAGUUAUUUAUACUGUGGGGAAAUGUGUUUGCGACUUUGUUUUCAAAACUAAAAGACUGUUUGAUUUUCAAAUAUGCAAAAAAAAAAAAAAAAGGUUAGUCCUUCAGAGGCCAAUGGGAUCAGACUCUAUAAGAGUAAGCACUUCUUACCACUGUUUCUUCUGAAAGUACCAGUUUUCCUGUGGAGACGGUUUUGGUUUUAUCUGCUCUUUUUUUUUUACAAAGCUUAAUUUAUUAUGCUGUAUUAGAUACAUAUUAUGAUAAAAGCUGGAGGAAACAUGUUUUAAAUAAUUUAUAAUAAAAUAAAACAAUUUACCAGUUGGCUGAACUGUGUAGAAUCAGCAACACAGAAUUGGCAAACAAUGAAAUGUGUUCACAUUUGGUUCCAGUUUUCUUGUUGAAGUUUGAAUUGGUAUUAAGAGAUGUUAAAAGCCAUUGUGGAUUUCUCUUUACACGAUUACUGUUGAAAAUGUAAUGUAUUACUAGCAGCUUGCCUUCAAUUUGUCUACUAGUUAACAUGUUUAAAUGCAUCUGUUUAGGAUGAAAAUUUUAUGUUUCAUUAAAAUGCAUUAACGAAUGUAGUAACUCCUUUCUUGAAUGCAUUGGUUCUAUAACCUUUCUUGCAUUCAAAGACAAAUCUUCUCCAGUCACCCCGUAAAUCCCCAAGUAGCUGUAUUACUUCAGGUAUCUUCACUUACACAGCCAGAAUACUUGCUUAUUCUUACUGAAGUUACAGUCAUUAACCUUGGGGGAGAGUGGAGAAGUCCCUUGAGCAUAGUCGGUCACAGAUCCCCUAUGUACAUGGGGCUCACAAAGUCACAGCUGUGUUACCUGUUCUGUACUAAUUAAGAGUUACUAUGAAUCUGUUUGACAAUUAAGGACAGAAUGAACUUUAGUGCAGAUAGGCUCAAUGGGACAGUAAAUAGUUCUAAAGCAAGCAGAAAGUCAGCAUAGGAAAUACUGCUGACAGCGUGGACUUUGUUUUAAUGGCAUGCAGAGUAAAAUGUCUGAAUUAAUAUCAACACUGGACAUUCCACAGCCAUUGCAGAAAUAAGUAUCUUGGGUUUGUGAGUAUAUAUGACAUAUAAUACAUUUAGUUGUAACAAGACAGACAUAUUUCAUAACAAUAAUCAAUUAUAUAUGGUAGAAAUUCACUGCCAGUAGGAUUAAUAGUGGUCAGAAUUCUGUCACACCACUAUUUUCUAAACCAAGUAUCAGUGGAUUACCCUGAAAUAGUCACUUUACACCUAAUCACACUAUUAAUAGGGAUUCCCUCACUAAGUAUAUGGAACAGAAACCUAUUGUAGUCCUAAGUAUGUAGGACUCCAACCUAAACUAAUCAUGAGUGAGCUGAGGCAUGGCUGGUAUUACUAAAAUGUGACAGUUUAACAGAUGUUUUGUCCAUCUGCUAACCUGAUCUUUAAACAGUUUGACCUCUAUUCCAAGUACACAGCAGAAUAUAUAGUACUUUAUACUUUCCAAUUCCAUUUUAAAAAUAAAACACAAUAACACAAUUUUUUUUACAUUUAUGCAUGGUAAGGAAAGGGUAGGAUAGGACAUGUAGGCAGGGUUUACAAAGAGUGAGAAGGAUGUUGCUACUGGAGAAUGCCGUGGUGUUAGUGGCCAACUGCUCAGCCGGAAGGAAAACAUAUGGAUAUUUAUUUCAUUUCACUAGGUUUUGUGUAGGUUGCAUAUUGCAGCCAUUAGUUGAAAACGCACUGAAUAAAUUAAAUAACUGAGGUGGAGUCAUUAACAAUAAAAGAGCUUAGCCACGGUCUGAAUGUGGGAGGCCAUUUGAAACACAUAGAAUUAGCAUUACCUUAUUUAUCUCCUGCCCUGAAAAGGAGAAGAGAGACAGUUUGAUGUCUAAAUGAAGUAAUCUUAGAAAACAAAAAAGAUUAUAUUUGUUAAACUGUAUAAGGAAAAAAGUCCAAAGAUAAUAUGGCUUUGUUCACAGUAUUACAUAAAGAAGAUUAAAGACGGGAAACAAGCUGCUUAAACACUGUAAACUAAUUAGUUCGAUGAAUUGUUUUCCCGAGGUUCAUGAGAUAUGAAACAUUGGCACCAGUGCGUGAAAUACACUCUGCCUCAGUGCUCUUUUCAAUUUAUUUUUCUGUUAGUGUCAUACGUAUAUAAAAAGAAAGCAACCAAAAAAAGAAAGAGGUUACAGAAGGAGACCAAAGCCUGGCGUAUGAUUGAAGCUGACAUUUUGUCAUUUUAAGCCUGGUGCGGGAGAACCUUCCUUGUAAUACCCUUGUAUAAAUACCAGCUUCAUUUUCUGCCAUCGCUAGCUAUAUUGCAAAAUGAUGUCAUGACAAGGCCCAUAGGAAUUCCUUUUGUUGCUCAGAGCCACUUGGCAGCUCCAAGCUAAACUAAUCAUGAGCAAGCCGAGGCAUUAUUAAUUAGUCUGCCCAGUAUCAAGGUAUUUAGAGAGGAAAGGGGAGGAGGGAGAGCCCACAUGGUAAGAAAACAGGGGCAGGUGUUUGGCAUGGAAAACUUUGUGUUUGGUUUGUCUGUUCUUCCCUGUAAACUGAUGUGCACACCAUUUGAUGUGGUGACGCAUGUAUGCGCUCAGUGGACUCUCUUGGGAGUGCAUACCAUUGUGUACUAAAUACACCCCCCACCAAAUAAAAUCCUGUUAUACAUUCCAAUAAUUGUGAAACUGUUCCCCAUAUUUCUUUGUAUUUGUGUUAAAGAGCUUCAAAACAUCACAUGAAGUUGUUUGUAGUAGUAAUUGUCUCCUCACUGGAUUCACAUCUGCUUGCCAUUAUUGCAAUUGUGUAGAAAAGCGAAAUUGAAGCAGAGGAUGAAAGGAUUUUGGCAGUACUGCAAGUAAAGGAACAGAGAGCUGACAAGGAAUCCUGUUGCCUCAUGUGAAACACCUGAAACCCAUCCUAAUCUUCAUUUUGUGUCACAAAAUCCCACCAAAUUGGCAAUUGAAUCUUACGGCAGUGCUGAUACACCGGAUCCCAUCACACACCAAUAAAUAAACUCUGUCUAGCUUUAGACCUAGUUAUUACUUGGAUGGGAAAUCAUGAGGAAAUGCUGAAAAUUUAACAUAGAGCUAGGGGAAAAAACUAACCCGAAACCCAGGUGACAGUGCUGCCAUAGUUAGGCUUAUGGUUUUAGCUUUCUUUUUUUUUUCCUGUGGUAAAGAGGCCACUACUUCAGGUCUUCUGUCUAAUAAUAAUAAUAAUAAUAAUAAUAAUAAUAAUAAUAAUAAUAAUAAUAAUAAUAAUGCUUUUAAGCUAUAAAAAUAGAGACUCAAAUUGGCUAACAAUGCUAAAAACAAUACAAUGCAAAGUCAAAGGCUUACAUGGCUAGAAUCACUGGGGUGAUUCAACACUCCAAAACAAUGUAUCAUUUAAAAUCUAAGACAUAUAGACACUAAAAUAGAAUUAAAUAUUAGAGUAUUAAAAAUAAAUAGUUAAACUUAGUAAAACCAUCAAACACUUAUACACCUAUACACAGAACACUAUAUAGCAUCCCCAGAUCUGUCUUAAAAACUUUCUUCUUUAAAAUUCUGCUGAAAUAAAGUAUUUAGCUUGUUGCCAGAAAGAAAGCAGGGAUGAGACUAUUCUGGCUUUCCUGAGGAAGAAAUUCCAGAGUCAAGGGGCAGCCACUGAAAAGGCCCACUCUUGUGUCCACACCAACCAAGAUUGCGAUGAAGGUGGGGCCAACAGAAGGGUCUCUUCUGAAGGCCUGGGCAGUUUUGUACUGAGAGAUGCAAUCUGCCAAAUGUCUUGGACAUGAGCCAUAAAGGGCUUUAUAGGUCAAAAUUAGCACUUUAAUUGUGUCCCAGAAACAAACUGGCAGCCAGUGGAGCUGUUUCAACCUGGGGCCAUAUCGUUUUGGACCAGCUGAAAUUUCCAAACACUCUUCAUAGGCAGCCCCACAUAGAGCAUGUAAUAGCAAUCCAAACCGUGUGUAAUUAAGGCAUGUACUACCAUGGCCAGGUUUGACAUCUCAAGGAACAGGCACAGUUGCUGCACAAGUUUUAAAUGAACAAAGGCACUCCUGGCCAUUGCAGAAACCUGGGCCUCCAGGUUCAAUGACAAGUCCACUACCUCCAAACUAUGAGCCUGUGUUCUCAGGGGAAUUGUCACCCCCCCCCCCAUCUAAAGAAAACAAUGAUUCAUUUGUGUCCUGCCUUUCUCUCAGUCAUGAGGCUCAAGGUGACAAACAGAUUAAAACUAUGUAAAGUCUUCCAUGAAAGUAUAAAUAUAACAGACACAAUUAAAGAAAUGCAUUAAACAUGAAAAACAUUACAAUUCAUUAAAAGACUACAUUCAACCUUUGAAACAGCAGGACACAGCAUCAAAAGCCCACCUCACUAGGUUACUAAAUGCCUGGCAUGAUAUAUGUGGUACAAUGCUGAAAGAAGGAGAUCAAGGAUAGGGCCCUCCUGUUUCAAAGUCUGGGAUCAGCAACCAGAUUUUGUUCCCAUCAAAUGAGCUUGCGAAGGUGGCGAGAUAUAGAAAGAAUGGCUUCUCUAGAAGAUCGUUGAGCUCUGAUGGGUUCAUAAAGAGAGAUGUGGUUCUUCAAAUAGCUUGGACCCAUGGUAUAUAGGACUUUAUGGGCUGUCAGCAACACAUUGAAUUGUGCCUAGAAAGGGACUGUAAGCCAAUUAUUUACUGCUUUGCCUAUGGUAGCCAACUGUUGUGGUACAACUCUGAAUAAAUCGCACAAGAUAUGGAUGAUCCAUAUCAAUAUGGAGAAUAACUUUGCAUAAUUAAUCUUAAGCAUUAUUAUAUUUUAUAAAAAUGAAGUUUCAUCCUAUUGACAUCCUUUUCUCUUUUGCACAAAUCUAUUGUACAUAGCUAUAGGAACUGGGCUAGGAUUAUUUUCAAAUUCUGUCUGAUAUAAUUUUAAAGAUGUAGAUGCUAAAAGCAGUGACAUCUAGCCAUUUCAGGAUUUGUUGACAGGUUAACAAAAACUUUGCAGCAUCAGCUGAGAAUUCUUUAGUGAAAACAAUUCUAGCAGUCCACAAUAUAUAUGUAUCAAGAAGUGAUAUAUGCUGUUUUUUUCCUAUCCAUACUUUUUAGCAAGCUCAUAUCGUAUUCAAAAAUAUUACUGUGUUUCUCUUUUGUUUUUGUUUUUUUACUAGGCAAUGUGCCAUAAAAGCUGUUAGUUUUCAGUGUACUUUUAAAUAUUUCAGGGUGCACGAAAAUUUAAGUAUGGAGCAAAACAAGUCUUUCUUUCUUAGUCAGCUCGGUAAAGGUAAGACACAGUUAUCUAAAUGUGAAUAUUUCAUUUAGAAAGUUGAAUGCAGAAUCUGACUAAUUCACAGUUAUGCUAACAGACAUGAUCGGAGAAUGAAACCCUAGUCUUUUUCACAGAAAUAAUUAGUUACUGAGGGACCUAGAUAGAUUCCAGAAGGAAGCCUGUGUGACUCUACCUUGUUUAUUAAGGUUUCUGUGAACUCUUGUUAGCCUGUUUACUGUUUCCCUCUUCCAUUAUUUCUCCCUCUUUUUACAAGCUGUCUAGAAGUUUGCAGCUUUUAUGCUGGAUAUGGUUUUUCCAUCUAGGUUUUAUUACUUUUUCAUAACAUUUAUUGGCAGUCUGAAUUUAACAAAUCCGCAACUACUUAAUGGGUCCUGGCUACAUGCAGCAUGGUGUGAUUUUUCUCCCUUUCAGACAUCUGCGUAGGUAACCUCUGAAAUUUACAAAACCUUUGUGUAAUCCCACAGCCGGACCUGCACAUUAGAAAUCAGGACCAUUGUUUGUUUGCUACUAAUUAGUCUAUGUAAGCCUGCGGGAAUUGAUUCUGUAUUAAUAUAUUUCAGGAAGUAGUUAGAAAUCUUCAUGUCAUUUUAAGGAAAUUACUUGUCUAGUUGUUUUGACUUUUUCCUUCUUGAAAGUGAAGUUACAGUGAUGCUGAUUUGAUUUUAUUCAUUAUUAAUUAGGGAGAAAGAAAGGCCAAGAAAUAAGAAAUUUUAGUUGGCACCACUGUGUAACAGAAGCAGCUGUGUAAUGUGGCACCAGUGGGUUAUUAAAUAUGACAUAAUGAGUAGUAUUUCUAUCAUGGCAUUAUAUAUCUGUCAUAGAUUUUGUCAGGCAAUUCUUUUUCAAAGUUGGAAAUCUUUCUCAUUUAUUUUCAGUGAGUAUCAUUUAAAAUGUCCAGAAAUCCCACUGCAACCAAUCAGUUUGUCUUUUUCUAAAUACCUUAGUUUGAUUGAUGGCUUGUUAGGUAAAUAGUAAGCCAUAGGGAACUCAAUUUACUUGUUAUAUGAUGCAAUAAUAGCUUGACAUGGGUAAUGUUGGUUAGCUGCAUUUGUGGCCUGUUUUCUUGCAGUUUGUGGCACAUAGAAUACAGAGGUGUCUAAUUAUUUCAAUAUUUCAGUGUGAAAUAUCCUUGGAUUUAUUUUCAUUGCAUACAUUGCUUCUGUUUGGUUAAAUAUUUUUUUUAAAAUGAUCUUGUCCAGACUUAGUCACAGAUCCAUGGAAAUAGAUAGGAAUUAAGUUAUAUUUAUUUUAGUUCUUUCUGGAUCUGAAUCAUUACUUUAGUGGUUCAGGCCCAACUAUAGGGAUGUGCAAAAGACAUGGGUAUAGAGUUUGCCAGGGAAGCCAAAAUGGUUUUAAAUCACUGUUGUAGGAGGCAGAAGAAUCAGGAAAUUAAAUUCAGCUUUCCCCACCUUUUUGAAUCCCUCAUAUGUGCAUACAGGUCUGUUUUCUUGAUUAUAUGUUCCUUCACUUUAAUGGUCUGAUAGCUACAACUCAUAAUGUAAUACAGUGAUUGCUUUUAAAAUCAACAUGUCGAUCAUCAUCAUCUAAAACAGUAGACCUGUAUUGAGUUACAAUAUUCUUCAGGUCGCUUUUGUCAGGUCUUUGCCCCUUUCUUUUUAAUAUAAGCUAGAAUUAAGUCAGCAAAUGUUAAUGUACACCUGUAAUAUUUGAUUGAAUUAAUAACAUAUACGGAGAAGCAUAGUAGUGAUUGCAUCUUUACAUUAUCUGAUGUUUUUUAAUUAUAUUUUAAUAAAUAAAGUGUUUGGGGAUAUUGGUAUAAUAUAUACACAUCUAAGCAAUGAAACUCUAGUGUGUGUUUCUCUGGUGCAGCCUCCUACUUGUGGAGUCCCCUCCCUUUGGAGGUCCUGUUGAUACCCAUAUUGUGCCAAGUCAAAACAUAGCCUUUUAUUUUAUUUUUUAAGAAAGACAUAAUUUACUUUUUAAUAUAAAUGUGCAUUGUUUUAACUGUUUUAUCAUUUUACGUAUUAUAACCUGUUGAUUUGAUAACUUUUUAUCCUGUUUAUGUUAUCCUCAUGCUUGUAAUCUAUUUCAGACUGUUCAUAUACUUGUACAGUGCUUUGAGAACCUAUGAUAAAGGGCAGGAUAGAAAUAUUUUAAUGCAUAAAUACAUAAACAAGCUGUUGUUAUAGCAACAGAAUGAACUAUAAAAAUAUAUUAUGGCCCCAGUCCUGAAAAUUCAUUGGCCCAUAAUCUACCUCUAGCAUUUAGCAUUGCUUGGAGAAGACUUGGCCCAAAAAGGUUGAAGGGUUGUGAUUGCCUUUUCAGCUUUAUCAUAGGAAACAACUCAAGAUGAGCCAAGGAUUGGGUGGACAAUAGAAUGGAAAAAUCAGCAUCAAACACUCUUAUAAACCAAUAUGGAUAGGCUGUAUGAAAAGUGCUGGCAGGUGGCUUUGAACUCCAUUUACAGUGUUAAAAUUCCAGCAUAUCAAAGUGUUUGCUAACAGAGUAUUUCACUCUUUUCAUCAGCUCUGCAUUUGCAUCCCAUCAGUGAAUCAAGCAGCUUUAUUCCAGAAGUGAAUAUGGCUCAGAUAACUGUUCAGGCUCAUGUUGCUGAUCCAUAUCUGUUUGCGAUUCUAUUCCUUUUACCUCCCACUUGGGUUGUACCUUUCUAGUGCAAAUAAGCUGCCACUGGUUCCUCUGCUUGAUCUCUAUGCUACAGAUGUCUCUAAUUAACUUGACUGUGACAGGCCAACAGGAUACAGUUACCAAGGUUGACAAAUCCCAGUGUCCUUAGAGGUUAUACCAUGUCACCUGACACAUUCCUUGUGCUAACAUCCUUUUGGCAAGCUCUUUUUAAUGACUUAAGUCCAUCUUGUACCUGCGUGUUUAAUAUGAGGAGUGUAGAGUGAUAGCCACUAAAAGAUAACAAAGAAUUUAUAGUAGCUGAGCAAUUACAGUAUCAGCUUUGAUUUAGUAACAUAAGAGGUGUGCCAUUAGAUCCCCUUUGAAAAAUUCUAAUACAACACUGCACUCAAAAUAGUGUUUCUGAGACGGUCCUAAGCUCAAGUAAUGAAUAUACAGAGCAAAUGUUCUCUCAAAGAGUUAUUGUACUCUGAACUUCAUUUUGUUUUAAAAAGGGGGGGGGGGGGGGUAUGAGACUGAAGGGAAAAAAUCUGCUAUAUAAAUGUAACUAUUUCUUAACCAACUUGAUUAUCUGCCAAGCAUUGCAGUUUCAAAAAUUUCAAAAAUAAUCACAUCUUCUAAAUGUAUAAAAGGUGCAAGAAAUCUACUGUCAUCUCAACUUGGAAAUGUAGAUGGUUAUAAUUUACAUCAUCUAAGAUGCUUCAAAUAUAAGAAGUUCAGAUCACUAGAAUCACUAGAAUCUUUGAAUUUUCAGGCUCAGGCUAACUUUGAAAUUGUGGAAUUCAUGAGUUAGCUGAAUUUUCUUCAAGGAAUAGAGUUAGACAGGAGGGGCCUGGAAAAUGUAGGUCAUGUGACUGAUAAAAACUAGUUAGAACCAGAGUAUAGAACUGUUGAAAGGGAUGGAAAGUUGUCAAUUAUUUUGAAAUUGGUGAUAUGUGUGAAAGAAAUGGAACUAGGGAGCCUGCAAAAUGUAUAAAAGGCUACCAAGAACAACCAAGGAAACAUGGAUUCACAUAUUAAGGAUCUGGAAAACUGUCUUAUUGGGCAGUCUGACCUAGAAAGGUGUGAAUGAGUCAAGAGGAAACUCAGAAAAGCUCUGCCAGACAAUAAGAAAAUCUCAGGAGACAAUAUAAGCUCACUUGGCUGCAGGAAGCCAUUUUCCCCAAAUAGAAAAAUCAUAUAUUUUAAUUAAAAAGAGAACAUUUAUAGGGGAAAACCUGUAACACAGAAAAAACCUUUCUAAAAAGGAACAAAUUCCAUGAGGGGAAGAGACCUUUCAAAAUCACAAUGUAUCACAAAUGGAGGAAUAGCUUCCAAAUACUGUCCUUAUCUGGUGUUUUAAUUUGAUAUAAUAUAGCAAUCUAUCUUGUGUAAUAAAUUGAUUUCUAAAAAUGUUAGUAAUCAUUCAGGUUGUUUUAGGCAACAUCACCCUCCUUAUCUUUGUUGUCCACUGACCAUCUUCAAAAUUGAACUUGUCAUCUCAUCCCCAUCUCCACAAAUUCUGCACUAGUGUAAAUAUUCACAUAAUCUGUCUGCCUAUAAAGGUCUGUUUCUAGACAAUUCACUGCAUGCACCUGAGGAACCAGACAAAGGGUGCAUCUGUUUCUGGGCACAAUUCAAAGUGCUUGUUAUGACCUUUAAAGCUUUAGAUGGUUGAGGUCCAGGCUGUUUGGGCGACUGUAUCCUCUUGUACGAACCUGCCCAGGCCCUGUGAUCUUCAGGAGAUGCCCUUCUCUCGUUCCCACCUCCAUCUCAAGCUUGGCUGGUGGGAACGAGAGAAAGGGCCUUCCCAGCAGCUGCCCUUCAGCUCUGGAACUCUCUGCCCAGGGAAGCCAGAAUGGCCCCCUCCCUGCUGUCUUUCCAGCAGCAUGCCAAAACCUUUUCAUUCAGACAGGUUUUUAAAGAUGAAGAUUUUAAAGAUCAGUUCAGGGGGUGCUGUGGUUUUUUAUUAGUUUUUUAUUAUUAUUUAGUUUUUAAGUGGGAAUUUUUAGUACUGUUUUAAUGUUCACAUAUUUGUUUAUUUAAAUAGUUAUGCUGACGCUUUUAUGUUUUUUGUUAUGUUGAAUCCUCUUCAGGGGAGAUAAAGCUGGGUAUAAAUAAAUAUAACAACAACAAUAAUAAUACUGUAUAAUCAGUGCAAUUUGACACCACCUUAACUACCAUGGUUUAAUGCUAUAGAAUCAUGGGAACUGUAGUAUUACAAGGUCUUUAGCCAUCUUUCUACUGGUGCCUCAAAAAUGUAAACUCCCAUGAUUCCAUAAACAUUGAGCCAUAGCAUUUGAAGUGGUGCCAAACUGCAUUAAUUCUCCUGUGUAGAUAUGCUCUAGGUCUACAAAAGUUGUUAACUUUGUUCUCUCAGUUUGUCUCUAAAAUGCUACAUGAUCCAUUUGCAAACAUUGUUCAGAUUGUUAUUUAUCACAGCUGAUAAGCUUAUAUUAAAGAUAUUGAUGUUUGGUUUGGGCCACAGACUUUGUUUUUUCCUGUGUUAGAAAGAGAAUGGGACAUUGUAUCCUCUUGUGUUCUUCAGAAAAGUCCUUAUAAGACAGAGCCUGCUAAUGUUGGAUUGCAUCUUCAUGAGCCAAAUCCAGUAGAGAUGAUGCUGACUUGCAUUCUAAUAAUAUCUAGUUUCCUUUCUUUGUAUGGUGCUUGGACCCAUACAAUUAUAACUUUUCAAAACACUGAAGUUGGGUGACCUUCUGUUACCGUAGCAUCUUGCCCCAUAGAUUCCAAUGGAUUGAGCAAAUUGAAACGAAGCAUAUUUGAUAGUCUUGGUUGGCCCUCAUCAUUACCAGGCAAAUUGGAGACUUCAGAGUACAAUGAUUAAAGUAACUAUUAUUAAAAAAAGAGAGAGAAAAGACUGUUAUAAUCCUGGGCUUGUAAUCAAAGUUGCAGAACCUACCUAAUGAAUUUAAGAUUGAGAAUCUAAUUUUCUUAGAACUAUCACUUGAGAAUCAGAGUAAUUAUUUCCUAUUGCCCUUCAUGGAAUAUAGUUAUAAUUGCAUUAGCGUAGGAAGAUUCACAUAAACAAUUAAUUGUUAACAUCCUAAUUCAGAGGAAAUAAUCAUCCCUUCAUUUUUCAUUGUGAGAAAAGGUGCUACAUUAAAACAAGAAAAAAAGCAUGGUUACAUCUGGAAAACAGUGUGCUGGGAAUAGUAUCCCUAUAGCUCCAAAAUAAGCUCCUGGAAGAGCACUAGGGCUGUAAUCUAGGAUGGCUCAGCAUAGCACAACAUGUUUGCAAAUGGACCUAUGUAAGACAGCGCCAUAUAUCAUCUGCUUUAACUUUUCACAUAGCUUCUGGAGCACUUCUCCAUGGUUAUUCUCUAUUUUGUGUAUAGCUGGGAUGAAUAUAGAAGUAUCUGGCUACCCAUACUCGGAUGCAAAAUUAUUACAGCAAUGUUGAGAUCUCAGUAGGGCCCCAGUUUAACUCGUGAGAGAUGUUAUCAUUUUUUUAUCUAGUUAUGGAGAGAUGCUUCAGCAAUCCUCAUUGCUCACCACAAAGCAGAUAGUGCCUAUGCCAGAAGCCUUUGGUUGCUGCGGAGGGAAAUGCCAGCACCCACAGUUCACAAAAAAGUUAUAUGUACAACAUAAGGGAAUCUUAUGUAUAUGUCUCUACCACAAUACCAGUCUAAGAGUAUUUUGAUAACAUAUAUUAUUUGGAAGCUAAUACAGACAUAUGCAUAUAUAUAUAUACACACAUACACAUACACACACACAUAUACAGAUGCAUCUCUGGAAAAUUUUGUUAGUAGUACAGUACGAUUACCACAUCUGCUGACUGCCAGGAUACAUUCCAAGAUACACACAUAUCUGUGGAUACUUAAAACCGUGGAUAAUAGUAAAUCCUAUGCAUUGGCUAUCAUUGUUCCAUAAACACAGCAAAAUCACAUUAGAGGACCUAAAAAGAUCUGCAAACACUUUCUGUGCUCUGUGAAACAUCUAGAAGAGCCUGCUGCGGACUCUGAGAAACUUUCAUUCAUUGCCAAGCUAGCCAUCUUGUUAGCUUUCGGAGAUACAAUAAUGAAUAUUACUGCGGGAUGGUUUGGCACUUUUUGCACUUAGUCCCUGGCUGGAGAUCAGACUGGCCUCAAAGCCCAUGAACUGGGUAUCAGGAGGACGAUGCCAUAUUAUCCAUUUCCUGUUUCACCUUUUCACAAUUCGUAAUUCAAAAUGCAUGGAGUGAGCUGGAGAAAGAUAAGACAGUAACUGGAAAUGCUUCUGUUUCCUGUUAAGUAGAUUGAAAAUUAUUUUUAUCUAGAUGGUAUUAAUUGCUCACAUAUUAGGAAUAGUAGACUAUGGUUCUUUUGCCGUACACAGCUGCCAUGGCUACAUCCUAUUAAUUCCUGGAAUUUGUAGUUUAGUGAGAGACUAGUUUUCUAGCUGAGAAUUCCAAGUGCCCAUCCCUAAACUGCAGAUGCCAGAAUUCUGUAGAAUAUUAUCAUUACAAUCAAAGUACUAUCAUAGUGUCAUAACCAUGCAGUGUGAAAGGCUAGCCAUUGGCUCCAUGCUUUGGAAACAGUCCCCUCCAAAACAAGAGUGGAAAAAGAAGAAAUGUUCCUUCGACAAUGCAAAAGUUCCUCUGAUGACGAUGAUGAUGAUAAUGAUACAUUUUAUUUCUUAUACACCUUUCCUUGAGGCGGGGUAUAAUAUAGUUAAAAUUUAUAGAUAAACAUAUAUAUUAAAAGACAUAGACGUAAAAUUCAUUACAUUUAUUUGAUGAAGAAGGUUUUUAAAAUUAGUCUAUUUGCAUAUUGCCAAUCUGUUAGGUUUAAGUUUGAAUUGUUGAAAUCACCUUCAUUCAUUGGACAUUUUCUUCUGAGACCAACCAGGGGAAGAGAUAGUAGUGAUUUGUUUUUGGAAUAAAUCAAGUUAAGCCUCAUUUUACCAUGAUUUCCCCGGUGUAUUAAAUGCCAUCUCUCACCAGCAGAGGGCACAUUCAAACAGAAUAGUUGCCAUGAUAAAAUUCCCAGGUAGUUUAUUUUCCAUCCACUUAUAUAAUGAGAUCUAAUUUCCAAAUUUGUUCCAGUUUGUGCUGUCAGGUGCAUUUAGGGUCUAGAAGUAAUUCGGGGAUGAGCUAUAUUCAUAAUUAAGCGAAGGGUGGAAACUAGUUUCCCCUUUCACUCUGGAGUUUCUCAACCAGAGUUCAAUUGCACCUUAGAGUUAUUUAAGAGAUUGCUAGAGAUUGUAAUUGGGGAAAAAUUAAGAUGUAGAUAUAAUAAUCUUUAUGCAGGAAUUCUCUGACACCUAAAUAUUAUUUCAAGGUUUCCUCAGGGUUGAAAAAAGACACCUCUAGGGACAAAUUGGCAGGCUUUCAUUUCAUUUUUGUGUGUGUUUCUGCUAACCCUGCAUGCAAAUCAGAAUUCAGAUGUAUCUGUCAUAGCUAUAUUAGUAAAAAAUAUAGAAGGCAUGCAGUUUUUUCCCAGACUGAGUUGGCCACAUGUUGCUCAUAAAGAACAAUUCCCUUUGUAGGACUGUCAGAGGAUAUUCUUCUGUUUGAAGGUGCCCUCUAUGUCAUCUUCUUAAGAAUCCUUUCUAGGAAGCCAGCAUCCCCCCCCCCCCCAAUAUUUACCAGACUCGUACAAUUUUUGCACCUGGUAUUAUCAUAUUCAUAUAGUUUCCUGAAAACAUGCCAUGAACUGGCAGCUGACUUCUUGUGAACCAGCUCCACACCAUGGACAAUAAUUUUGAAUGGUAUCGUUUUAUGUGAAGUGCAUAUCCGAACCAUCUGAUUUUAUGAUAAAAGAACCAUAAGGAAGGAGACUUUGGAGCUUGAGGUUGACCAGCCAUGUAUAACACCUGGACAAAAGAUUCAACAGAUGCACAGGUCAUCGGGUUGCAGUCUUCCCAGUAAAGUGAGAUGUUUUCCCUGGAAACCCAUUGGGUGACUUUGGGCAAGUUUCACUCUCUCAGCCUCUGAAAAAAGCAAAGGCAACCCUUGUUGAACAAAUCUCGCCUUGAAAACCUUGUGAUACAUUCACUUUAAGUUCAAUGUAAGUCAGAAAUAGCUCAAAAGUGCACGACAACAUAUUGUGCUUAUAUCAAAAUUGUAAUAGUCAUUUGUGACUUUACACAUUUGCCAUUUUGGGAUGUUGUGUGAAUAACAAGCCUAAUCUAGACACCAAUUUAGACUUCUAUUUUUCAAAGAUUUUCCUUUCAGGUUCUUUAGAUAAAGAACAAGAAGGGUGAAAGGCUACAAUUGAAAUGUUAUUUAGGUUGGAUCUACACUGUCAUAUAAUCCAAAUUACCAAGGCAAAAAAUCCAUAUUAACUUCUUUCAACUGGAUUAUAUGAGUACCGUAUAUUCCAGUUCAAAGCAGAUAAUCUGGAUUGCAUAUGGCAGUGUAGAUGGGGCCUUAGUAAUAGAUCAAUGUUUUAUAUUUUAGUUCUUAUUUUAACCAUUGCUUUAUUUCUUACUUUUCUAAGUUUUAUUGAAUAAUCAAGUGCAGAAAGGAUAUGCAUUUUGCUGUAACGUUAGACUUUCAACAGAAGGAACAGAGGAGAGAGUUUCGUCUGCUGGCCAAACAGGAGGAGUUCUGCACAUUUUAUUGAACUGCUAAUGUAAACUGUAGCUGGAAAGUGAACGGUUAAUCUUGUUUGAGCCUAUAAUUUCAGCACAACAGGUCUGUCAGUAUUGCUGAUUCAAAAGUGUGUGCAAAACACCAGAGGAUAUGUGUAUGUGUGAGGGAGAGGUUUUAAUGGACUUUUUGAAAGACCCCGGGGAACUCCUUAUUUUCUAAGGCUGUGAUAGCUCAAUACUGGGAUAUUUCAAAAACACCUCUAGAAGGGGAGCCCCCUACUCAAAAUAAGUUUGACUGACAUAAUUAUAGUUCAGAAACGGCUGUAAAAGGAUUUCUCCUGUCAUGAACUGAUUUCUUAUCAAACUGUGCACUGACAAGUGAGAAACAACAAGCUUCAUUUUCUUCUGUUCUGUGACUCAUUAGUUUUGUCUCAUAAACACCUCAUUCCCUCACCUUAAAUUCUUUUUAAAGUGUGGGAUGAAAUUUAAUACCCCCAGUAGUUUUUUUUUUUAAUCCUUUCUAGCAGAGUGCCUUUUUGAUAUGCAUUUUACCUAUCAAACGUCUGCUGCGGUACAAUGCUUCUUAUGUAAUGAUAACAUUCUUUUUCUUCCAUUCUAACAUUUAAUAAGGAAUAAGACACAGUAUUCUUUCCUUAAAUUUAGUUUAGUGUUAUUUUCUCACAGAUAGAUGUAUGUAGAAAUAGUUGAAGAAUAAUCAUUCUGCAUUACACUGUCAUCUGCAAAUCAGAUACUUUAUAUAAGGUAGGAGUAGAUAACAUGAGACCCUCCAUACAUUGAAAUGCAGUACCCACCAUUCUUCAUCAUUGACUCUGGGAUUUGCAAUCCAACAGCAUUUGUAGGGCUGCAUAACUCACAACACUGUUUUAAACAGAACACACCAGUUCUAUCUAUGUCCACUCAAAAGUAAGCCUGAAUACAUAAAAUCAUAUAGAAACCAAAGAAUGAAGAUAUACAAAGCAGCAUAGUACUUUUGAAAGAUGUGAUGUAAGCUCAAAGCAGGUUUUAUACAGACCGAUACAACCUCAACUUGUUUAGCUUGGAGAAAAGAAGGCUGAGAGUGGAUAUGAUAGCUAUGUUUAAAUAUUUGAAAGGAUGUCACAUUGAGGAAUCUGGAGACUAGGACACAAUGGAGCAAGAGAUUCAAAUUGCAGGAAAAAAGAUUCCACCUAAACAUCAGGAAGAACUUCCCAGUAAUAAGUGUGGUUCAGCAGUGGAAUAUGCUUCUGGGGAGUGGGGUGGAGUCUCCUUCUCUGAGGAUUUUUAAGGAGGUGCUGGAUGACCAUUUGUUGGAAGUACUUUGAUUGUGUGCAUGGCAGGGGGUUGGACUAGAUGGCCCUGUGGUCUCUUCCAACACUGUGAUUCUAUGGAUGUAAUAUGUUGUUGUUGAUUUUGAUGGGAUUAUUUGAGUAUGGAUCCAGGUUGGGUAAAUCUGGAGAAUGCAUUCCCUAAUAGGGUACACACCCUGAAAAUUGACAGUCAGGGAGCCAGAAAGGAAAUGAAAUAAUAUCUGGUUUUCAUUUUUGACCAUUUAGAGGUGGGAUAGAUGUUUUUCCAAGGGUUUUAUUUCUCCCGGAGUGGCUUUUGAGCAGAUUCUUUGUGAAGGGCCCAAGAAGUCUGGCAGGACAAAAACCUCAAAGGACGUGAGGAAUUUUCUGGUAGACAUUAUCUGCAGGAUAGCCUUCAUUUUACUUCUAAAUUUUCUUCCGUUGGUUUACAUAUACAUAUUUUAAUGGGGAAAAUUAUUUUCCCCCAUGCAACUAAGUUUACCUCCUCCAUUAGUUAUUUACAUGGAAGUGAUUGUUCCAAAAGUGAUUUGCUAUAUCCAUAUCCUUAGUUAUUUACUCACCUACCUGCUCACAACUUGUGGUAUGUUUUUUCUGCUUUGUACAUUUUGUGUGAAGAUAUAUAUCAGUAAUGCAUACAAAUGUAAAAUGCA